GUUUACGCCACUGGCUGCCACCACAAUCCUAUUUUCAUCGGUUUGAAGAUUGAAUGACUCGGCUUCACUCCGACACUCGGCUGUUUCCGUGAGCGUCGAGCAGUUGAACCGCUUCGAAAUCGAAACACCUUCAAGGACUUUUGAAUUAAGUGGAAUGGCAGUCUCGCUUCACUCCCGACAUCUCCUAUAACAUACAACAGAGAGUUAUCCCUCUUACCAUCAGGUUCCUACAGCAGCAGCCACCUCUGAGUUCAACUGAAGUCUCUCCUGUACCAAAUAGUUGAAAACGAGACUGCCAUCGCUCCAAGUCCAGAACUGACCUCACUGGGGUGCUCGGGUAGAGGAAGACAUCCCAAUGAUCGGAGCCCCAGCAGUCCAAGAUCCUUCGCUAAAGCAGAGAGACCAGAAGACCACAGCCUGAACCAACCCUUUGUCUUUCAAACCUAAUUCAACUUGAAAUAUCUUUAAAAAAUAAUAGCCCGUGUUCAUCUGAGAGGGAGGGGAGAAACAAGCAUCAGACUCUGGUCUGACUGGAAGACACCCAUACACAGUCACCCUACUGUCCUCGGAUGGAGACCCUCGCUGGAUGCAGACUCAGCUGCAACAUUACAGCUUCCUUCGCCCCGUACAUUGAUAAACUGUAAACGGCUCCAAAUAGAAGACAUUGGACGGCUUUAUGUUGGUGGCGUCAGUCUCUUCUCUUCCGUAGCGGAUCAACUACCUCGGGCUGAACCCAACCGGUCACACGUGGUCAAUGCCAGCUGCAUGAUAUUGCGCUUCAUAAUGAAUUUUGCUGUAUUUUAUGUCUCUAAAUAUGUCAAUUACAUGUAUCAGAAAUCCUAGAUGGAUUCAUGUGGUUAUGUUGUGUCAAAUCUGCUCUUCGGUUGUCUUCCAUUACUCCCCAUACCGAAUGCUUAGGGUAUUUAAACUCAACAUAAACAUCUUAACGAUAGAUGUAGAAUUGUGGGUAUGAUGGUGCUGCUUCGCUUCUAGUAAACAAGCAUUUUGCUACACCUGCAAUAACAUCUGCUAAACAUAUAUAUGUGACAAAGAAUUUGAUUUGAUUUAUUUUGGCAUUCAUGUCAAUGUUGUCACGUUUCACCAAAGCUGUUUGACCCCAGUGUUCAGCAUCAGUAAACAUCGUCCACAAAGCUGAUAAGAUCUCUGGAGUAAACCUGACAAAAUAACUGGAAAUAAAUACAGCAUUAUUGGGCUUAUCGAGAUCUAGCCACUGAUCAUCAAGACCUAUAAAAAGGCACAACAGGGAGAGUGGCCAUAAAACCAGAUAGAGCGAACCAUCUUGACCAUAAUACUGGUUCUAUAUUACACACACACACACUACAUCCCAGUAAUUACAAACAGAUGCUAGGAUGCUGCCUCACUGUGUGGUGGUUCUUAUCACAGGGCUUACACUAUGCUAGAAAUAUGGGCACGAACAGCUUAGAAGAUACCUUGACGAAUUGAGGCUGUUCUGAGAGCAGAAGCGGUUGCAACUCAAUAUUAGGAAGGUGUUCCUUCCUAUACUCAGUGUAUGAAGAUUGAGAUUCUUAAUAUUUGUGUCAGUUAAUCAAUUUUUUUUAAAUAUUUUUUUUUAGCGCUUUUGAGGCCUCAUCGUAAAAGUGCAUUCUGUUAUCCACUAAUGGUUGUGGGUGUUCUUUUUACUGCUUUAUUGGACAGUAAACUCAGGCUUCAUAUCUCUUUUCAAAUCCUCAGAGAUUUGUGUAAAGUACAUGCUACGUUACACUUGUGAACAAAUGAUGUCAGCAACAAGAUACCAUUAAGCUGUCAAAUGUUUAUAGAACCUCUUAAGAAUUAAUCUUUGAAAUAGUUUUUUCCCUCUUUGAUCGAACAACGUUUCCUUUUAUAAAAACAAAUGUUUACCCUUUCUAAUGCCAUAGAACUAAACAGACAAUUUGAACUGGGUUGUAAGUGACUAAAAGCAUAUUUGGCAUUAUGAUUAAAUGGUUCUUGUCUAUACAUUGGUAAUGAUGUAAGAUUGAGUAGAGAGAUGUGGUAUCUACAGAUUACAGUGGUGUUUGAAAAUAAUUGGCUGUGGAAUGUAUCCAUUGGUGUAAAAAAUACUUUAAUGUUAUACUUCAGUCGUUUUUUUUUUUCUCUCUCUCUACUUUAGUAGUUCUUUUUUUUGACAUUUACUCAUGAGAACAUCCCUGGUCAUCUCUACUACCUCAGAUCUGGUCGACUCACUAAACACAUGCUUCAUUUGUAAAUAAUGUUGGGAGUGUGCCCCUGGCUAUCCGUAAAUAAAUACAAUUUCUGGUUUGCUUCAUAUAAGGAAUGUAAAAUGGUUUAUACUUUUGAUACUUAAAGUAAAGAGUCGCCCAACCUGACAAUAGGGGAGUCCUUGUCCUGUUGCACAUAUUCCUAAAGCUCUAAACUGGAUAGAUUGUAGGACAGAGAUCAUCAACUUGAUUCGAUCCACAGGCCACCAGUUGGGGAACCCUAAUUUACUGGAUCAUUCAAACUAAGAGCUUGAUUGACCAUGUCCUGACUAGUAUAGGGGAGUCAUUGUCUAAUAGGAAGAAUACAAUAGUUUUGUUUUCUACUGUAUUGUUUUUGUGCAUCUCUGAGUGAUGUUAUAUCGAUUCCCUGGGUCAUUUCAUGUUUUCAUGUGUAUCUGAGUUAUGUUAUAUCGAUUCCCUGGGUCAUUUCAUGUUUUCAUGUGUAUCUGAGUUAUGUUAUAUCGAUCGCACUGUGAUAAAGUCUCUCUCACUACACUGGAAGUUAAUAGGAAUAUGACUUUUGGCCUGUGAAAACAUCUAUCAUACAUUUCAGAUUCCAGUACUAGCCGAUGUCAUAACGCGUUAGGGUGUCCUCUCUCGAAUGAGCCAUUGAUCAUAUUUUUGCGAUAUUCUGACCUUGAGAAAUGUGUAAUUUAACAGAGGGUCUAGCACGUUUUUCCUGUUUGUCUGCCUCUGUAGUCCAGGGUGCAUUGCAUGGUACCGUUGUGAAUGUCAGACUCUACUCUCUGAGGCACAUCAAUCUGUCAGGUUGAACAUGGUGAGAUUAUAGACUCCUAAAUUGAUAGUGCAGUUUGUUUUAGGAGAUUCUACAGCUAACUAGCUACUUUACAUGCAUUUACUUAUUUACAUACAUUUGCUUGCUAGCUAGCUACCUAUUGUGGCUAGCUAGCCAGCCAGCUAACUACCUAUUGUGGCUAGCUAGCCAG
rnacentral:lncRNA from 1 species